AGAGUUUGAUCCUGGCUCAGAACGAACGCUGGCGGCAUGCCUAACACAUGCAAGUCGAACGAAGCCUUCGGGCUUAGUGGCGCACGGGUGCGUAACGCGUGGGAACCUGCCUUUAGGUUCGGAAUAACUCAGAGAAAUUUGAGCUAAUACCGGAUAAUGUCUUCGGACCAAAGAUUUAUCGCCUUUAGAUGGGCCCGCGUUAGAUUAGAUAGUUGGUGGGGUAAUGGCCUACCAAGUCGACGAUCUAUAGCUGGUCUGAGAGGAUGAUCAGCCACACUGGGACUGAGACACGGCCCAGACUCCUACGGGAGGCAGCAGUGGGGAAUAUUGGAUAAUGGGCGAAAGCCUGAUCCAGCAAUGCCGCGUGAGUGAUGAAGGCCUUAGGGUUGUAAAGCUCUUUUACCCGGGAUGAUAAUGACAGUACCGGGAGAAUAAGCUCCGGCUAACUCCGUGCCAGCAGCCGCGGUAAUACGGAGGGAGCUAGCGUUGUUCGGAAUUACUGGGCGUAAAGCGCGCGUAGGCGGCUAUUUAAGUCAGGGGUGAAAUCCCGGGGCUCAACCCCGGAACUGCCCUUGAAACUGGAUAGCUAGAAUCCUGGAGAGGCGAGUGGAAUUCCGAGUGUA
rnacentral:rRNA from 1 species